CUAAUUUAGAGUCCUCGAUGCAUUUGCUGAAGGCUAAAGGAUGUGGAGGAGGGAGCAAAGGCCCUCUAAGGCAAAACCCAUCCUGUAGUCAGUCCUUAGAGAGAUCUCCAGCUCCCUCAGCACUUUGGUGGAUUCCUGCACCCUCCGACGAAACUUCUGUAAACAUAAAGAACUCCCUGUUUACAGUGCAAUCAUUCCUUUUAUUUUACAAAUGAACCAUGAUCUGCAGGAGCAGGAUUGACCAUCAGCUCUUCCAGCCCUCUUACCUGGUCGCAAAUAAGGUCCCAUUUCUUCUCGUUGUCGUAUUGCCGCAGAAGACGG